rnacentral:rRNA from 1 species
UUAGUCCUUUAAUUAAGGACUGGAAUGAAAGAAUUCAUCAAAAAUAUAAUAUUUUAUAGUUGUCCUUCAAAUUUUACUUUUUAGUAAAAAGGCUAAAAUAACCUUUAUAGACAAGAAGACCCUAUAAAUCUUCACAUUUCAUAACUUAAACAUUUUUCAUAAUGUUCUGCUGGGGCAGCUAGAAAGAAAAUGUUUCUAAAUUUUAAUUAAAUUAAACAUACCUAGAAUUUCUAAAAUUUAAUUAAGAUACUUUAGGGAUAACAGCAUCUUCUAUUUUGAAAGAUCUAAUUAAUAAAUAGAUAAGUGACCUCGAUGUUGGAUUAAAGUUCCAUUCUUCCGCAAAAGGAGAAAAAGGGGGUCUGUUCGACCCUUAAAUCUUUCCA